GGCACUACAAGUGACAUGCCACUGGGCAGUUUAGCAAAAGCUGGAGGUGCCUUGACAUUUGCAGUACACUGAAACAGUGGCUGGCUUGAAAAAUCCCAAAACGAUUUUCUGCAGGAGAGCCCUUUUGACUAAUAUGAGAUGGCAGAGCCUCCAUCAAGCCAGGUGGACUGAGUAGCGCAAACUCUCUCUUUACCCGUGUUGGACAGGUAAGAUGUGCCUGCUUCCCCUUCUGCCAUGAUUGUAAGUUUCCUGAAGCUUCCCCAGACA
rnacentral:lncRNA from 10 species